GAUGAAGAACGUAGCGAAAUGCGAUAAGUAGUGUGAAUUGCAGACUUUAGUGAAUCAUCGAAUCUUUGAACGCACAUUGCGCCCGGCAGUAAUCUGCCGGGCAUGCCUGUCCGAGCGUCAUUUCACCCCUCGAGCCGCUUUUAGUGGAUCGGUGUUGGGGCACUACGGUAAAACGUAGGCCCUGAAAUGAAGUGGCGGUCCCGCCGCGGUGCCCCCAUGCGUAGUAACGUUUAGUCUCGCAUCGGGUCCCGGCGGAGGCCUGCCGUCAAGCCUAUUUAUUCUCAGAAUAGUUUGACCUCGGAUCAGGUAGGGUUACCCGCUGAACUUAAGCAUAUCAAUAAGCGGAGGA
rnacentral:misc_RNA from 1 species